rnacentral:tRNA from 1 species
CCUACUUAACUCAGUUGGUCAGAGUGUCGCUUUCAUACGGCGAGAGUCGUUGGUUCGAAUCCAAUAGUAGGUAA